UCCAGAAUGUGUGGGAGAUGCCCUGGUAAU
rnacentral:piRNA from 1 species